CGCGUAGGCGGCCUGCCAAGUCAGAUGUGAAAUCCCACGGCUCAACCGUGGACGUGCAUCUGAAACUGGUAGGCUUGAGUACUGGAGGGGAGUGUGGAAUUCCUGGUGUAGAGGUGAAAUUCGUAGAGAUCAGGAGGAAUACCGGUGGCGAAGGCGACACUCUGGACAGAUACUGACGCUGAGGCGCGAAAGCGUGGGGAGCAAACA
rnacentral:rRNA from 1 species